CUUGAUGAAUAAGCCACGGCUAAUUCCGUGCCAGCAGCCGCGGUAAUACGGGAGUGGCAAGCGUUAUCCGGAAUUAUUGGCGUAAAGCGUCCGCAGGCGGCCCUUCAAGUCUGCUGUUAAAAGGUGGAGCUUAACUCCAUCAUGGCAGUGGAAACUGUUGGGCUUGAGUGUGGUAGGGGCAGAGGGAAUUCCCGGUGUAGCGGUGAAAUGCGUAGAUAUCGGGAAGAACACCAGUGGCGAAGGCGCUCUGCUGGGCCAUCACUGACGCUCAUGGACGAAAGCCAGGGGAGCGAAAGGGAUUAGAUACCCCUGUAGUCCUGGCCGUAAACGAUGAACACUAGGUGUCGGGGGAAUCGACCCCCUCGGUGUCGUAGCCAACGCGUUAAGUGUUCCGCCUGGGCAGUACGCACGCAAGUGUGAAACUCAAAGGAAUUGACGGGGGCCCGCACAAGCGGUGGAGUAUGUGGUUUAAUUCGAUGCAACGCGAAGAACCUUACCAGGGUUUGACAUCCUGCGAAUCUCUUGGAAACAGGAGAGUGCCUUCGGGAACGCAGUGACAGGUGGUGCAUGGCUGUCGUCAGCUCGUGUCGUGAGAUGUUGGGUUAAGUCCCGCAACGAGCGCAACCCACGUCUUUAGUUGCCAGCAUUUAGUUGGGCACUCUAGAGAGACUGCCGGUGAUAAACCGGAGGAAGGUGUGGAUGACGUCAAGUCAUCAUGCCCCUUACAUCCUGGGCUACACACGUACUACAAUGCUACGGACAAAGGGCAGCAAGUUCGCGAGGACAAGCAAAUCCCAUAAACCGUGGCUCAGUUCAGAUCGUAGGCUGCAACUCGCCUACGUGAAGGCGGAAUCGCUAGUAAUCGCAGGUCAGCAUACUGCGGUGAAUACGUUCCCGGGCCUUGUACACACCGCCCGUCACACCAUGGAAGUUGGCCACGCCCGAAGCCGUUACUCCAACCCU
rnacentral:rRNA from 1 species